UACGUAGGGUGCGAGCGUUAAUCGGAAUUACUGGGCGUAAAGCGUGCGCAGGCGGUUCGUUGUGUCGGCGGUGAAAGCCCCGGGCUCAACCUGGGAAUGGCCGUUGAAACUGGCGAACUGGAGUGUGGCAGAGGGGGGUGGAAUUCCGCGUGUAGCAGUGAAAUGCGUAGGGAUGCGGAGGAACACCGAUGGCGAAGGCAGCCCCCUGGGCUGACACUGACGCUCAGGCACGAAAGCGUGGGGAGCAAACAGG
rnacentral:rRNA from 1 species